GGAAAAUUGCUUGCGUGCAUGGGGAGGAUGGAUGCGUUUGACCAUAAGAAGCACCCAAAAUCCUAAAAUUGUAGAUCGCCUGUCGUCACACGCCAUGCCACGUGUGAAAAUGUCUGUUGUUUAGCUUAGUGAGAGGCAAGUAGGUCGGACUCGGGGGUCAGUUUCAGAGCAAUUGAGGCAAAGGGGUUGGGCCAUGAGACCAUGUGCCUAAUUAGCACCAUUGUCAAAAUGGACGUUUUCCAAUUCCAGGUAAAACACGAGGCGUUCCCAGUGUGACUUCGAUCACGCAGCCACGGCAGCCAGGUCUAACAACGGGCUUGUGAGGUGCCUCGGACUACAAGGUUGCACGGUUUCAACAUCUGCGAAGUAGUUAGUGGUUUGCGCCUGCCAUUCUAGUCUUCACGGAUGUUCAUUGUGGCUUUCCAGGUUACUUGGAUAGGGACUCGGUGAUAUGCCCGCAUGCAGGUUUGGGCAGGGAACAUCACAAGAACUUACAAGACCAAGUGCUUGCGGCAUUUGCGAGUUUUCGCUCACUCAUGUUCGAGGGAAACAUGCUUGCGUGCAUGGGGAGGAUGGAUGCGUUUGACCUUAAGAAGCACCCAAAAUCACGCGUGAAAAAAUGUCUGUUGUUUAGAUUAGUGAGAGGCAAGUAGGUCGGACUCGGGGGUCAGUUUCAGAGGAAUUGAGGGAAGGGGGUUGGGCCAUGAGACCAUGUGCCUAAUUAGCACCAUUGUCAAAAAUGGACGUUUUCCAAUUCCAGGCAAAACACGAGGCGUUCCCAGUGUGACUUCGAUCACGCAGCCACGGCAGCCAGGUCUAACAACGGGCUUGUGAGGUGCCUCGGACUACAAGGUUGCACGGUUUCAACAUCUGCGAAGUAGUUAGUGGUUUGCGCCUGCCAUUCUAGUCUUCACGGAUGUUCAUUGUGGCUUUCCAGGUUACUUGGAUAGGGACUCGGUGAUAUGCCCGCAUGCAGGUUUGGGCAGGGAACAUCACAAGAACUUACAAGACCAAGUGCUUGCGGCAUUUGCGAGUUUUCGCUCACUCAUGUUCGAGGGAAACAUGCUUGCGUGCAUGGGGAGGAUGGAUGCGUUUGACCUUAAGAAGCACCCAAAAUCCUAAAAUUGUAGAUCGCCUGUCGUCACACGCAUGCCACGCUGAAAAUGUCUGUUAUUUAAUUAGUGAGAGGCAAGUAGGUCGGACUCGGGGGUCAGUUUCAGAGGAAUUGAGGGAAGGGGGUGGGGCCAUGAGACCAUGUGCCUUAUUAGCACCAUUGUCAAAAAUGGACGUUUCCCAAUUCCAGGCAAAACACGAGGCGUUCCCAGUGUGACUUCGAUCACGCAGCCACGGCAGCCAGGUCUAACAACGGGCUUGUGAGGUGCCUCGGACUACAAGGUUGCACGGUUUCAACAUCUGCGAAGUAGUUAGUGGUUUGCGCCUGCCAUUCUAGUCUUCACGGAUGUUCAUUGUGGCUUUCCAGGUUACUUGGAUAGGGACUCGGUGAUAUGCCCGCAUGCAGGUUUGGGCAGGGAACAUCACAAGAACUUACAAGACCAAGUGCUUGCGGCAUUUGCGAGUUUUCGCUCACUCAUGUUCGAGGGAAACAUGCUUGCGUGCAUGGGGAGGAUGGAUGCGUUUGACCUUAAGAAGCACGCCAUGCCACGCGUGAAAAUGUCUGUUGUUUAGAUUAGUGAGAGGCAAGUAGGUCGGACUCGGGGGUCAGUUUCAGAGGAAUUGAGGGAAGGGGGUUGGGCCAUGAGACCAUGUGCCUAAUUAGCACCAUUGUCAAAAAUGGACGUUUUCCAAUUCCAGGCAAAACACGAGGCGUUCCCAGUGUGACUUCGAUCACGCAGCCACGGCAGCCAGGUCUAACAACGGGCUUGUGAGGUGCCUCGGACUACAAGGUUGCACGGUUUCAACAUCUGCGAAGUAGUUAGUGGUUUGCGCCUGCCAUUCUAGUCUUCACAGAUGUUCAUUGUGGCUUUCCAGGUUACUUGGAUAGGGACUCGGUGAUAUGCCCGCAUGCAGGUUUGGGCAGGGAACAUCACAAGAACUUACAAGACCAAGUGCUUGCGGCAUUUGCGAGUUUUCGCUCACUCAUGUUCGAGGGAAAAUUGCUUGCGUGCAUGGGGAGGAUGGAUGCGUUUGACCUUAAGAAGCACCCAAA
rnacentral:lncRNA from 1 species